rnacentral:lncRNA from 1 species
UCAAAUACAGAAAAAGUAAUCAUGAUAAUUAUAUUUCAAGAGGUUUUUACAGUUGAAAAAAAAUAGAAGCUUAUGAUAAGCUGGCCACUAGCCUGCCUGAUGCCGGUGUGCUCCAUUUGUUUUGUGUUUUAUAAAAUGUAUGUUCCAUUUGCUUUGCCAUUAAGAAAUAAAGAAAGUUUACAUUGUUGCAUUAAAUUAUGGACCAUCUAGGAUUACAGUAAAUAUAAUUAUUUCAAUUUCCAGAAAAAUACAACAAAGAAAACGCUAGCAGCUUACGCAAUGCCUUAAACUCUCCUCGAUACUCUUGGCAUCAUUCACAAAUUUAACCCAGAAUAAUAAUAAUAGUAUGAUUCUA